UUAGGAAUUUUGCGCAAUGGGCGAAAGCCUGACGCAGCAACGCCGCGUGAGUGAUGAAGGCCUUCGGGUUGUAAAGCUCUUUUAGUUGGGAAAAACACAAUGAUGGUACCAACAGAAACAGCACCGGCUAACUCUGUGCCAGCAGCCGCGGUAAUACAGAAGGUGCAAGCGUUAUUCGGAAUUAUUGGGCAUAAAGCGCAUGUAGGUGGUUUGAUAAGUCUGAUGUGAAAUCCCCGGACUCAAUUCGGGAAGUGCAUUGGAUACUGUCAGGCUAGAGUAUGGGAGAGGUGAGCGGAAUUCCAGGUGUAGAGGUGAAAUUCGUAGAUAUCUGGAGGAACAACAGAGGCGAAGGCGGCUCACUGGACCAUUACUGACACUGAGAUGCGAAAGCGUGGGGAGCAAA
rnacentral:rRNA from 1 species